rnacentral:rRNA from 1 species
GACGAACGCUGGCGGCGUGCCUAACACAUGCAAGUCGAGCGAACGGACCAGACGUUUGCUUCUCUGUUGUUAGCGGCGGACGGGAGAGUCACACGUGUAUCCCCUACCUAUCAGACUGGUAAACUCACGGCACACCGUAUCUUACACCGUAAGAUCUCUUGCACCGCAGUGUUCAAAAGUUAAAUACGGUCUUUCUGUCAGUUAUAGCUGCAUCCGCGCUGCAUUAGAUAGUUGGUACGUUAACGGCUUAUCAAGGCAACUAUGCAUAGACGACGUGACAGAGUGAUCGGCCACCUGGGAAGUGAGACGGGGUCCAGACUCCUGCGGGAGGCAGCAGAAGGGAAUCGUCCGCAAUGGGGGAGAGCCUGACGGAGCAACGCCGCGUGAGUGAUGAAGGUGUUCGGAUCGGAAAGCUCUGUUAUUAGUGGAGAACAUAUGUGUAAGUAACUGUGCAGAUAUUGACGGUACCUAGUCAAAAAGCCACGGCUAACUACGUG